rnacentral:rRNA from 1 species
UACGUAGGUGGCAAGCGUUGUCCGGAAUCAUUGGGCGUAAAGAGCGCGUAGGCGGUCCGGUAAGUCCGCUGUGAAAGUCAAGGGCUCAACCCUUGAAUGCCGGUGGAUACUGUCGGGCUAGAGUCCGGAAGAGGCGAGUGGAAUUCCUGGUGUAGCGGUGAAAUGCGCAGAUAUCAGGAGGAACACCAAUGGCGAAGGCAGCUCUCUGGGACGGUACUGACACUGAGACGCGAAAGCGUGGGGAGCGAACAGG